rnacentral:rRNA from 1 species
UACGAGUGCCCCAAGCGUUAUCCGGAAUCAUUGGGCGUAAAGGGCGCGUAGGUGGCCUGUGGAAGUCUGCGGUGAAAGCCCGGCGCUCAACGCCGGGUCGGCCGUGGAUACUCUCGGGCUCGAGCUUACUAGAGGCAGAUGGAAUUCCGGGUGUAGCGGUGGAAUGCGUAGAGAUCCGGAAGAACACCGGUGGCGAAGGCGGUCUGCUGGGGUAAUGCUGACACUGAUGCGCGACAGCGUGGGGAGCAAACAGG